ensembl:lncRNA
UUUCUUUCUAAAAAUCCAUUCAUACUAACAGCAAACCUUUAAAUGGUACUAUAGAUCAAUGCUAAUAGCAUUUAAAUAUUAAAUUCUCUGCAAUGUCUUUCCUGAAGGGAUAACGAGAGCUUGUGGAGAGUCAUUGAAACAGAAAUAUCAGCGGCAGCACAAAAUCAUACGUAAGAUUACAAAGUUCAUCAUCAACAUCGUUCAGUCAAGUGAGAUAAAAGGCUGCAAAAGGAGACUCCCCAUGAUCAACAAUUCUAUGGAGUUCCAGUCUGCGCCGGAAUAUGCUUGUUCCUUCAGUGUGAAUCCCACUCUUUCCACUCCCCCCUCAAAGAGAUCCCUUCCUUGCAAGAGCUGGAUGUGUCACCGGCUGAUGUGUACUCAAAUGGCAUGAUCAUCUCAAAUGGCACUUCACCCACCUGCUGGAUCCCACACCUGAGCCUAGCAGAAAACCAGUGAUGGAAAGCUUUCCCGUAACUCAAACUACAUUUUUAUCUCCCGCCUCCCCAACUCUGCCCUCCAUGGAGCUGGCAUUGAAUUUGCUAGAUGACCCAGCUGUCCAGGAGUCUGAGGAAAUACCCUCUGAAAAGUUAGAUAGCAAACUGAUCAUGUGUGUCAUUUUCUUUUAUAAUUAUAACAGAUCUCUGUUCUGUUUUAUCAAUAACUGGAGGAGAUUCUUUUUCUGAUGAAAAAAAAAAGUGAUUUAAAAUGCAAUUUUCUAGAUUUGUUGUGGUUAUUUUUAGGGCUGAUAAAUGUGGCCAAAUAUAGUGAUUAUAUAUCAUUAUGAUAAUGAAAAAAAAUUGUAUUAGUAUAAGUAGCAGUAGUAGUAGCAGC